GCAGAGGUGGCUCAGUGGUUAAGAGCACUGGCUGCUCUUCCAGAGGACCUGAGUUCAAUUCCCAGCACCCACA
rnacentral:tRNA from 1 species